CAGCGCUUCAGGCAUGUGACUUUGGAGACAUAUAGUUCUUCUGUCCGACCCAGACUCCCAUUACCUCCUGCUCCGGGGCAAUGGAACUCAACUGAAUCGAACACACUCCUGCGUGUUUUAUGUUACCAUAGUGGUGAAGUUGUUUCAAAGUUCCUUAAGAAAACCUAUAACUUGCCUAAGAAACUGUAAUGAACUUGAGUUGUGACAAAUGGUGAAGUGAUGCAGUUCCUAUCCUUGCGUGGGAAUUACACCUAGCAGAACUUUCUGCUUGUAUUUGGUAGAAACUUACCCAAGUGUGGUGGUUCUUUCGAGAAUGAAGUUGAACGAGGACCUUAGAUUGAUUCUCGGCAAUUCAACAAGACCCUUGGCUGCAUAGAGAUCUGGUAUUGAAGCUAGCGCCACUCUUGAAACUGGAGGUAAGAGAUUUGGCAAUGGGGGCUUCUUCGUUAAGCUUACAGUUUUCUCAAUUGUUCAGGACGGCAUGUUGAUAGCACAAGACCAUAUUUUUGGACCCGAUCAGUCCAUCCUGAAACUCAAGGACCUUGAUGAGGUGAUAAGAAUGGUGGAUGCCAUUAGUUAUGGGCUGGCCACAGGAGUCUUUACCUAGACCCAACACGUCCAUCUCCAUACCCAAUUUCUCUCUCUACUCGUUUUCACUCUCUUCCAUACCCAUCUCGCCAUCUAUCACCCGCUACCAUCAUACCCAUACCACCAUUCUUCAAAUGCCCACUAAUCCAUUUCUCAUCACCAUUUUCCAUCACCCGUCCCAUGCAUCCCCCAUUCGUUCAUUUCCGUCACUCCCCACAUGCAUGAAGCUCCAUGCGUGCAUGGGAGCCAUGCAAAUGUGGCCAUCUUUCAUACUCAUUUUCCUUUCACUACCCCUGGCUAUACUUCACACCCAUCCUAUGCACAUGGCCGCCUCUAUCUAACUCCAUUUUCAAUCCCCAUACUCAUCUCCAACUUCAUACCUUACUAAUCCCAUACCCGUCACCACCUUCCUCUCUCUAUAUCCUCCAUACCCACCUUCGUACCCAUUUCUCUCACUAACACGUCCACCACCCCUUUCCACCCCCCAUACCCAUUAAACCCAUCGUUCAUUCACAUACCCCACUCAUCCCUCCACCACCACUACCACCGCCGGGAAAUCAAAUCCUUCGAUCAGGAGAAAGCCUAAAAAUUUUAAUCUGUUUACAUGAAUGGACUCCAUAAUGUUCGCAGCUCUCGAAAAGAUCUGUUCCCAAGGCGCGAAUGGCCUCGCUCUCCAGUCUUUGUGGCCGAAUCUCCAUGUUGCUCUCUCCUCCGCCGAACUCAACCUCUCGUCUGGCGUCAAGGCAGCAAUUUGGGCUAACCUCUUGAAAACUCUGGGCCUUGGGUUCCAGUCGCGGAAUGUCUUUCGUGAUGCCGAUGAUCCUGCAAUUCAACCGAUUAAGCAAUGCAAGAAGUUGAAUUUGAAGAUUGUUGCUACUGAGCAUCUUCAUGACUCGUUCGUUGGCCUCUAUGAUGCGAAGGCAUCCAUCGUCACCGGCAUCUCGGCGGUGCAGCGCCGCGUGCUUGAGCAACUCACCACUGCUAAAACAAAUGGAAUAACCCAAAGUCAACUAUGUGAGGAGUUUGGCAUAAAAGCGAACAACAUGUUUUAUGUACUAAGGAACCUUGAAUGCCGAGAGUUGAUUGUGAGGCAAUCAUCUAUUGUGAGGGAGAAGGAGUUGCUUCCAACCAAACUGGAAGAUGUUGCGCACUGGUGGUUUA
rnacentral:lncRNA from 1 species